UACGAAGGGGGCAAGCGUUGUUCGGAAUUAUUGGGCGUAAAGGGAGCGUAGGCGGUUCGGCAAGUCUUUAGUGAAAUCUCUGGGCUCAACUCAGAGUCUGCUGCAGAAACUGCCGUGCUUGAGUGUGGGAGAGGUGAGUGGAAUUCCCAGUGUAGAGGUGAAAUUCGUAGAUAUUGGGAAGAACACCGGUGGCGAAGGCGGCUCACUGGCUCGUAACUGACGCUCAGGCGCGACAGCGUGGGGAUCAAACAGG
rnacentral:rRNA from 1 species